rnacentral:lncRNA from 1 species
CUUUUCUUCUCGUAACAUCUCUUUUUCUCUCUCUGUUUCUUUUGUAUGUUAGAGCAGGGGACUGCAAAAAGGGAUGGGGCCGGCCUGGGUGGGGCCCACCCCAUUUACUCCCUCUCUUUUCCUUCUCUCCCUCCUCUCUCCCGUAUCCUCUCCUCUCUGUUUCUUUUCUUUCUCACACAGCCAUGGCAGGGAUGAGGCAGGGAGGGCGCCGGCGAUGAGGAGGUGGGCUUCGGCUGGAGGAGCGGUGGAAGCAGCGCCGGAAGGAAGCGGCGGAGGCAGGCCCGGCUGGCGCGGCGGCACCGGCAAGGUGGGGAGGCGGCCGGGGAGGAGAUUGGAGCGGCUGCGACUUCGGCGGAGGUGAGGAGGGCGCCGGUGCCGGUGGUUGGCGGCGCGGCGAAGUCAUUUGGUGGCGCCUGGAGCAGAAGAGGGCGCAGGCGGUGGCCGAGGCAGAGGAGGCAGGAGCUGGGAAGAGCGGCGGCGACGCCGGUGCUCUGCACCUCCCCUUUUAUAGGCGAGGCUUGGCGGCGCGAAGGCGGCGUGACGGCAUGGCGGCGGCAGGGCGGCUGGCGACGUGGUGGCGACGUGCGGCUGCAGCAUGGGGGCAGGUUGUCUGGAAAUGUAUCCGGCUUCCCCGAAAAAUCUGAAUCAUGAAAUAGAAAUGAAGGAAGUUUAUUUGUCGCACAGAAAAUAUUUGGAUACUAUGGAUAAUUGAUUUACUCCGGAAUAAAUGAAGUUGGAGGUAAAUGAGAUAGUCACGUCGAUUAAUAUUUAAUCGGAUGACCGGAAUUU